GAAGUAAUACCAUGUACCGGCUAGUAACUGUGUAGUUUGGUUUUAUUUUAUUAUAAUUGUAACCGGUAAGAUGUAGCGUUAACUUCUGGUGGUCCUUUUUUUUAUUAAAUGUAUAUGUCUCUUAAUGUAAAAUUUUAUUUUCCACAUUCUUUCCUCCUUUAGCCUCAUAAGUUUUCUUUUUUUUAUCCAAUUAUUUAACAGGGUUUCUGUAACCUAUCAGAUCUAGGGAUUUGUUCUUGUUGUUUAAAACCUAAAAAUCAAGACUGUCGCACAAACUAAACUCCCUAGAAACAGCCUCUGUAAAGCGGUUAGUCUUGCUGGGAUAUUUUUGACAUAACAAGAUGGCGCCCAAAUCUUUAAAAGUUUUCUGGUUAGUUGUCAGUGGUCAUGCUUUCUUAUCUUGGGGUUGUCCAGCGGAUUGGUCCUUGGCUGUCAGGAAUUACUUAGACGACUGUUUUCCGGACGGUUGGAUCGGUAGAGGCGGAACCUUUCCUUGGCCUCCUCGAUCGCCUGACCAAACUCCGUUGGAUUUUUUCAUAUGGGGCCGGGCAAAGGAGCUUAUAUACACCACCGAAAUAAGAACCAGAGAAGAGUUGAUUCGCAAAAUAAAUGAAGCAUUUGACAGGAUGAAAGAAGAUAUGGCCAUAAGAUUAACCACCACCGAAGUAACAAAAAGGGCUCGUGCCUGUAUAAGAAAUAAUGGAUUGCAUUUUGAACAUGAACAAUAAAUAAUUUAAACAAAA